rnacentral:rRNA from 1 species
GGGGAUCUGCCCGAUAGAGGGGGAUAACCACUGGAAACGGUGGCUAAUACCGCAUAACGUCGCAAGACCAAAGAGGGGGACCUUCGGGCCUCUCACUAUCGGAUGAACCCAGAUGGGAUUAGCUAGUAGGCGGGGUAAUGGCCCACCUAGGCGACGAUCCCUAGCUGGUCUGAGAGGAUGACCAGCCACACUGGAACUGAGACACGGUCCAGACUCCUACGGGAGGCAGCAGUGGGGAAUAUUGCACAAUGGGCGCAAGCCUGAUGCAGCCAUGCCGCGUGUAUGAAGAAGGCCUUCGGGUUGUAAAGUACUUUCAGCGGGGAGGAAGGCGAUGUGGUUAAUAACCGCAUCGAUUGACGUUACCCGCAGAAGAAGCACCGGCUAACUCCGUGCCAGCAGCCGCGGUAAUACGGAGGGUGCAAGCGUUAAUCGGAAUUACUGGGCGUAAAGCGCACGCAGGCGGUCUGUUAAGUCAGAUGUGAAAUCCCCGGGCUUAACCUGGGAACUGCAUUUGAAACUGGCAGGCUUGAGUCUUGUAGAGGGGGGUAGAAUUCCAGGU